UACAGAGGGGGCAAGCGUUGUUCGGAAUUACUGGGCGUAAAAGGGCGCGUAGGCGGCCUUCUAAGUCGAACGUGAAAUCCCCGGGCUCAACCCGGGAACUGCGUCUGAUACUGGAUGGCUUGAGUUUGGGAGAGGGAUGUAGAAUUCCAGGUGUAGCGGUGAAAUGCGUAGAUAUCUGGAGGAAUACCGGUGGCGAAGGCGGCAUCCUGGACCAUUACUGACGCUGAGGCGCGAAAGCUAGGGGAGCAAACGGGG
rnacentral:rRNA from 1 species